rnacentral:rRNA from 1 species
AUUGAACGCUGGCGGCAUGCCUUACACAUGCAAGUCGAACGGCAGUACGGGAGCUUGCUCCUGGUGGCGAGUGGCGAACGGGUGGGUAAUACAUCGGAACGUACACAGUAGGUGGGGAUAACGACCCGAAAGGUGCGCUAAUACCCAACACGACCUAGGGGUGCAAGCGGGGGACCGCAAGGCGUCGCGCUAUUGGAGCGGACGAGGUCUGAUCAGCGUGUUGGCGGGGUAAAGGCCCACCAAGGCGACGAGCAGUAGCUGGGCUGAGAGGACGAUCAGCCACACUGGGACUGAGACACGGCCGAGACGCCUACGGGAGGCAGCAGUGGGGAAUUUUGGACAAUGGGGGCAACCCUGAUCCAGCAAUGCCGCGUGUGCGAAGAAGGCCUUCGGGUUGUAAAGCACUUUUGUCAGGGAAGAAAUCUUUCAGGCUAAUACCCUUGGAAGGAUGACGGUACCUGAAGAAUAAGCACCGGCUAACUACGUGCCAGCCGCCGCGGUAA